GGGCUACGUCGACCUCGUCACCACCGACGUGGAGGACAUCAAGGACGCGCUCAAGGGGGCGGAGUACGACACGGCGACGCGCGGCAAGCGGCACCUGGCCGCGGCGAGGGCGAUGGGCGAGGGCGUGUACCGCAUCCUCAAGCACGAGGGCCGCGGCGGCCGCCCGCACACCCACCUCGUCUACAAGCUGGAGCUGCCCUCGCGCGGCGGCGGCGGCGACGAGGGCGGCGUCGGGGAGCCGCAGGAGGCCAUGAACGUGGAGCCGGAGGCGUCGUUCCUGGUGCAGAUCAAGAACCCGGAGCAGCGCGGCGGGGGCAGGGGCGGAGGCGGAGGGUUCGGCGGGCUGCAGGGCAAGCGGAAGGCCGCGUUCCCGGAGCACCUGCAGGGGCGGUUCGGGAGCAACCGCUACGCGCCGGCCGACCCGCCGGACCUGCUCAACUACGAGGGGUGCGAGCUGCUGCUGAUCUCGGCGUCCGACGACGUCGAGGAGGAGCUGGGCCUGGAGCUGCAGACGGAGACGGAGGAGGAGACUGAGGAAGGAGCCGGUGACGGCGGCGAGGGCGGCCGCGCCGGGGCCGGGUGCUCGGACCUGGUGAAGAUGUUCGGCGAGGUGGCCGACGUGAAGCCGCUGCUCAGCGGGAGCUGGGACUAGUUUAGCUCAACUAGCAGCAGUGCAGUAGACUACGUAGCGAGGUUAGCUAGGUAGGUUACAGAGGAGGCCAUGUUUUAAUGGUUGUGUAGCUUGGCAGAAGCUCGCUCUGCAGUUCUGCAAUUGUGACGCGAAAAUGCUUCACACACGACAGUGUUUGGACGAUAACUGCACGAUCGAGGGAUCCAGCGGCCGCUGCUGGGCUGUGCUCGACAUUCUUCGGCUGGAUUUAACCGUCGUGCACAAGUCGUCCAAACUUUAUCGUCCCCAUAGCACUGCUCAUUGUGACGCGUUGUUUCCAUGUAUCGCAUGUAUCGCAGCAGUGUUCGACUUAAUUUACAUCGCUUGUUGAAGUGUGAUAUUGUCCAUACUGGAGUAUCUGGUCAUCUCGAUUCAGGUUUAGGUUUGGCAUUGGUUUAUGUAGAGCUCAGGGAGUUUUAGGUUUUUGCUAUUGCAAACACGCAAUCCAAAUCAAUCGAUCACUUGGCAAACUAUGGAUAUAUAACAGUUAUUAUGAAAAUAAGCAUCAAAGUGGCUGUAGUUUAGUGGUGAGAAUUCCACGUUGUGGCCGUGGAGACCUGGGCUCGAAUCCCAGCAGCCACAUUUCUCUUUUUCUUUUCCUUUUUGCAUUUGUAUCUGUUGUUGUCUUUCAAAUAUUGAUAUUUUUGGGUUAGUAUUUUAACUAUUUCCUACUCCCUCCGUUUUAAUGCACUGUGUAUACUUUUUGUCAAAAGUAGGAAACUAUAAACUUUGGCCAUGUUUAUAGGCAAAAUAUGUACACUCAAAAAAUAGCA
rnacentral:lncRNA from 1 species